rnacentral:misc_RNA from 1 species
UUGCCAUAGGAACAGCUCGAGGGCUGGAUUACUUGCACUCAUUGGAGAAGCCAAUAAUUUAUAGAGAUUUCAAGUCUUCCAACAUACUGCUUGAUGAGUUCUAUGAUGCAAAGAUCGCAGACUUUGGAUUAGCAUUUUUUGGUCCUUUGACUGAUAAUUCACAUGUCAGUACUCUUGUCAUGGGCACACUUGGUUAUGCUGAUCCAGAGUACGUUUCAACAGCGUAUUUAGCCAGUUUGAUUAUCACAG